UACGUAGGUGGCAAGCGUUGUCCGGAAUUAUUGGGCGUAAAGCGCGCGCAGGUGGUUCUUUAAGUCUGAUGUGAAAGCCCACGGCUCAACCGUGGAGGGUCAUUGGAAACUGGGGAACUUGAGUGCAGAAGAGGAAAGUGGAAUUCCACGUGUAGCGGUGAAAUGCGUAGAGAUGUGGAGGAACGCCAGUGGCGAAGGCGACUUUCUGGUCUGUAACUGACACUGAGGCGCGAAAGCUGGGGGAGCAAACGGG
rnacentral:rRNA from 1 species